AAGUCGUAACAAGGUCUCCGUAGGUGAACCUGCGGAGGGAUCAUUACUGAGUUACACUCAAACCCUGUUUAAGAAUCUGUUGCUUCGGAGGCGCCCCUCGGGAGGGGAUUUGCUUCGGCCGCCUCCAAAAGCACCUUUACUCUUUAACUUUGAUUUAUCUGUCCUCAAAAAAAAAAGAAAUUAAAACCUCAACAACGGAUCUCUUGGUUACA
rnacentral:misc_RNA from 1 species